GCCCCACAUCGUGCUCUUGCAGUGUUCUCCCCGCAGGUGCUGCAUGGAGUGAGUGGCGGCAUCCACCGUGAGGAGGAGAGGAGCUCUGAUACCCUCAGGACCCGCCAGGAGGGGCAUCACGGAGGCUUCUGGACGACUUGGAGCUGUGUCCUGGGGAGAAAACCGCUCCUGUCUGGGCCCUGAGUGCUGAGGAGGAAGCUGCCAUGCACUUUUCCCUGGCAUUUUUCCUGCAUGGAGAGAGAGGUCCAAGGUGCCCUACAUCGUGCGUCAGUGCGUGGAGGAGAUCGAGCGCCGAGGCAUGGAGGAGGUGGGCAUCUACCGCAUGUCUGGGGUGGCCGCAGACAUCCAGGCACUGAAGGCAGGCUUCAACGUCAAUAACAAGGACGUGUCAGUGAUGAUGAGCGAGAUGGACGUGAACGCCAUCGCAGGCAUGCUGAAGCUGUACUUCCGUGAGCUGCCCGAGCCCCUCUUCACUGACGAGUUCUACCCCAACUUCGCAGAGGGCAUCGCUCUUUCAGACCCAGUUGCAAAGAAGAGCUGCAUGCUCAACCUGCUGUCGUCCCUGCCGGAGGCCAACCUGCUCACCUUCCUUUUCCUUCUAGACCACCUGGAAAGGAUGGCAGAGAAGGAGGCAGUCAAUAAGAUGUCCCUGCACAACCUUGGCACGGUGUUUGGCCCCACGCUGCUCCGGCCCUCCGAGAAGGAGAGCAAGCUCCCUGCCAACCCCAGCCAGCCCAUCACCAUGACUGACAGCUGGUCCUUGGAGGUCAUGUCCCAGGGUCCCAGGGCUGGUGGUUGCUUUGGGUCUACAGCUACGUCUUACCCGCCUCCUGCCUCAACAGCCUGUGUGGUGGCAAAGCCGGUGUGGGGCUGGGGAACGCAGCGUUCUCCAGGAGGGGGACCCGGCUCUCCUUCUGCAAUGCAGGCGAAGGCCUAGAUGCCAGUGUGACCUCCCACAAGGCGUGGCUUCCAGACUCCCCGGCCGGAAGUGAUGCUUUUUUGCCGUGGGCCCUGGGUUUGAAGCAGCCUGGCUUUCUCUUGGUAAGUGGCUGGUGUCUUAGCAGCUGCAAUCUGAGCUCAGCCACCUACACACCACCGUGGCCGACACUUUCAUUAAGAAGUUUCCUGAGACGA
rnacentral:lncRNA from 1 species